AGUGCUUCAUGUCAUUUUGCAGUGCCGGGUCAUUGAAGUUUCUUCCGAUGAGCCGCUUCGCAUCUGCUGGCCAGAACAUCGGCAUCAGCUUCCCGUCGCAUUCAGAGAACUCCGCCUUCUCACGGAAGGACCUUCGGGGCUGUCCGGGUCACAUACCGAUGAUGACAAAGAGAUGUGGACAGACAUCUGCUCCAUCUCUGGGAUACUUGAAGAGGCCUGACCAAACGAUGCAAGAGGGAGCGGCACAACCGUAGGCUGAAACAAAGAAUCGCCCGGAUCACAGCAGAAGCUGAACAAUACGCCACCAGCCUCACUAAUAAGAAUUGGCACAACCUCUGCGACCGCCUUAAUGGCACACUAGGUACUUCCAAAACGUGGUCCCUCCUCAGAGCACUACUCUACCCAACGCACACAAAAACGCACACAACACCGUCCGCACUAUCAUCCAUAAAGAAUAAAUGGAUGAUGACGCUCUCCUCUAAACACUGCAACAGAGGUACAUUGCUACAAAUCACCGACCGGAGUACAAAGACUAUCCACACGAGGAGGAAACCCAAUUGGACGGCGAUAUUACAGAGACAGAAGGAAGGGCAGCCCUACACGCCAUAUCACGUAACACAGCGCCUGGAGCAGACUGCAUUCACUAUGCACUACUACGAAACCUCGACGAUCAGGCCAUACGGCAACUCACUGCAUACUACAAAGACAAUUGGAAAAACGGAACUCUUCCACAGGAAUGGCGACACACCGAUAUUAAUUUCGAAACCCGGCAAACCGUUGUCGCUCCAAAAUCUCAGGCCCAUUUCCCUGACUUCGUAUAUCGGAAAACUCUACGAGCAAUCAGUUCCAAUGCGCUUCAAUCCUUGAAGCGAACCAAUUCUUCCUCACUACCUUAUUUGGCUAUCGACCAGGUCUGUCUGCGCAGGAUAUAUUCGUACAACUUAAGGAGGAUGUUGUGGAUGAUCCGAGUAAAGCUUAAACAAGAGCCAUUCUGGCGUUGGACUGCAAGGGGGCCUUCGACAACGUCUCACAUGACCUCAUUAUAAACAAUCUUGCAUCCUCCAGAUGCGGAAAACGCAUCUAUGAUUAUGUGCGUGCCUUUUUAUCUGACCGCAAAGCCACCAUCGGCCUAAGUGAUAUUCGGUCAGAUGUCAUAUAAAACUUUCCGGCAGAGGGACUCCGCAGGGUUCGGUUCUCUAACCUACCCCGUUCAACGUGGCGAUGGCAAAGCUACCACCGCUCCUCGACAAGCUUCCGAACGUGCAGCACGCCCUGUACGCCGGUGAUGUAACAAUCUGGGUGACCACAGUAUCGGACGGCGCCAUUCAGGAUGCACUACAGGAAGCAGUAAAUAUAGCACAAGAGUAUGCAACAGCCGGAGGACUCACCUGCGCAACUCAGAAGUUUUAGCUGCUGCUUGUAUUAAAAAAAGAAAAGGUAAUACGGCCGAUAUUCCAUCAGCUAUCACAUUGCCUCUCAAUGGCAACGUUAUUCCAAGGGUAGACAGACCACGUGUACUAGGCCUUAACAUACAACACAACGGGAAGGCCACACAUACCAUACACUUACUCCGCCAACAAAUCACGCAAAUAAGGCGCAUGAUAAAGUGCAUUACAAACCGCCGGCAAGGGCUCCAAGAAAAAGUUGUAUUCCGAAUCGUGCAAGCCCUCAUAAUUAGCAGAUUAACCCACCACCUCCCCUAUUAUAACCUGACUCAGACCGAGGUGCACCAGAUAGACACCCUCAUCCGUACAGCACUAAAGGCAGCGCUGGGAAUACCUCAACAUGCGUCCACGCAGCUCCUACUACGAGUCGGGGGGCACAACACCAUACGCGAACUAGUCGAAGGUCAUCUUAACAGCCAAUUGCAACGUCUCGAACGAACAAUGCAAGGGUGCCUCAUUCUAUCCCGGCUAGAAUACCAAACACCAAGAAAACCACGACAGGAAGACCGCACACUUCUUGCGCUUAGCAUUCACAACAAAAUUCACGUGGCCCCGAUUCCCCGAAUUAUGCACCCUGACCGUGAUAAAGGCCGAAGAGACGCAACAGCACAUGCCCUGGCUCGACUCUUUGGCGAUGGCACAUUGAACACAGUGUUAAGGCGCCGACUCUCGCGUUCCCUAGACUGAGACUCGGGAUCCUCGACUCGGCGUGACCGCUGCUCAGCCGCAGCUUCGGCGCUAGUUUCCGCAUCAGCUCGGCGGCUACGCAUCGCUUCUCGCUUGGCAGUACGGCGUUUUUCCUGGUUAGCAGAUUCUUCUUCGGGAGUCCGGACUUUCUUCAGUCUUCCCAUGGCAGCAGUACUUACGCACGGAGUAGAGGAGGCGAGAGGUGCAUCACCGCGCUGGCUAUUCCGUGCUUUUACUCGACUGCGACGUCAGGACUCCGCCACACGCGUGUAUAGUGCGAUGAGGUUAUGUGGCUCGGUGCUCUCGCAGGUGGUUGCUAGACAACGGGAGACGACGCACACCUGGCCUGAAUUUUCUUGUAACGCUCCACGGCGGAACUAAAAGCUUAAACAACUCCGCUGUUAAAAAAGCAAGCCUACAGCCUGUUACAAUGUUGGCUCAGCCAGGUUGAGCCACUUCUCUGGAAAGGGUGGCCGGGCGCAUAAAAGUCACUCCGCGUGCUAAUACACGUGCCAUACCAAUUUAUUUGACGAAUAA